rnacentral:rRNA from 1 species
CUAACAUAUAAGACUGGGAUAACUUCGGGAAACCGGAGCUAAUACCGGAUAAUAUUUUGAACCGCAUGGUUCAAAAGUGAAAGACGGUCUUGCUGUCACUUAUAGAUGGAUCCGCGCUGCAUUAGCUAGUUGGUAAGGUAACGGCUUACCAAGGCAACGAUGCAUAGCCGACCUGAGAGGAUGAUCGGCCACACUGGAACUGAGACACGGUCCAG